rnacentral:lncRNA from 1 species
UCAUGUCAGCUCAGCCAGCAAUCAGUAUUCCUUCAUAACCUUUCAAACUUAUUCAGAUCAAACAUUUUAGUCUUUAUGCAGUAGAAACACAAUAAUCAUUACCAUAGUUUAAGUAUGAUUAUGCAAUGUCAUGAUGUAACAAAGAAAUACUCAAAUUGCAUACAUACAAGUGAUUUAAUCGAUUAUUAAUCAGUUUAAGCCAUUAAUCACAAUUUCCACUUCACACAGAUUGAUUAAACCAGAAACAUAAUUUCAUUCAUAUAUUAGAAAAGGAU